UACGUAGGGUGCGAGCGUUGUCCGGAAUUAUUGGGCGUAAAGAGCUUGUAGGCGGUCUGUCGCGUCUGCUGUGAAAAUCCGGGGCUCAACCCCGGACUUGUAGUGGGUACGGGCAGACUAGAGUGUGGUAGGGGAGACUGGAAUUCCUGGUGUAGCGGUGAAAUGCGCAGAUAUCAGGAGGAACACCGGUUGCGAAGGCGGGAUCCUGGGCCAGUACUGACGCUGAGGAGCGAAAGCGUGGGGAGCAAACAGG
rnacentral:rRNA from 1 species